rnacentral:rRNA from 1 species
GAUGAACGCUGGCGGCGUGCCUAAUACAUGCAAGUCGAGCGAACAGACGAGGAGCUUGCUCCUCUGACGUUAGCGGCGGACGGGUGAGUAACACGUGGAUAACCUACCUAUAAGACUGGGAUAACUUCGGGAAACCGGAGCUAAUACCGGAUAAUAUAUUGAACCGCAUGGUUCAAUAGUGAAAGACGGUUUUGCUGUCACUUAUAGAUGGUUCCGCGCCGCAUUAGCUAGUUGGUAAGGUAACGGCUUACCAAGGCAACGAUGCGUAGCCGACCUGAGAGGGUGAGAGGCCAAACUGGAACGGAGACACGGUCCAGACUCCUACGGGAGGCAGCAGUAGGGAAUCUUCCGCAAUGGGCGAAAGCAUGACGGAGCAAAGCCGCGUGAGUGAUGAAGGGCUUCGGAUCGUAAAACUCUGUUAUUAGGGAAGAACAAAUGUGUAAGUAACUAUGCACGUCUUGACGGUAACUAAUCAGAAAGCCACGGCUAACUACGUG